rnacentral:rRNA from 1 species
AUGAACGUUGGCGGCGUGGAUUAGGCAUGCGAGUCGUGCGAGAACCGUAGCAAUACGGGGACAGCGGCGAAAGGGAGAGGAACACGUGGAUACCUACCCCCAGGUCCAGGAUAGCUAUGGGAAACUAUAGGUAAUACUGGAUAACAUCUCCGGAUCAAAGGUGUGAUUCCGCCCGGGGAGGGGUCCGCGUCCUAUUAGCUAGUUGGUGAGGUAACGGCUCACCAAGGCGAAGAUGGGUACGGGAUGUGAGAGCAUGAUCCCGCUCAUUGGGACUGAGACACUGCCCAGACACCUACGGGUGGCUGCAGUCGAGAAUCUUCGGCAAUGGGGGAAACCCUGACCGAGCGACGCCGCGUGUGAGAUGAAGGCCUUCGGGUUGUAAAUCACUGUCAGAGGGGAGGAAAUGUCGGUGGGUUCUCCCAUCGAUUUGACCUAGCCUCAGAGGAAGGACGGGCUAAGUUCGU